CAUGGCCUUUUGAUUAUAAUUUAAGGUCUAAUCUGCCCCCUGAGUAUUUAAAUGGCCGCAGUAUUUUGACUGUGCUAAGGUAGCAUAAUCAAUAGUUUUUUAAUUGAAAGCUGGAAUGAAUGAUUGAAUGAGAUAAAAACUGUCUUAAUUUUAAAAAUUAGAACUUUAUUUUUAAGUUAAAAAGCUUAAAUAUUUUUAAAAGACGAGAAGACCCUAUAGAGUUUAAUAAUUUAAUUUUAUAUAUAAUUUUAUUAUAAAUUUAAUUUGAAUUUAAAUUAUUUUGUUGGGGUGAUAGAAAAAUUUAAUAAACUUUUUUUAUAUUUAAAUACUUAUAAGUAAAUUUUUGAUCCAUAUUUAAUGAUUAUAAGAUUAAAUUACCUUAGGGAUAACAGCGUAAUUUUUUUUUAGAGUUCAAAUCGAAAAAAAAGAUUGCGACCUCGAUGUUGGAUUAAAGUUAAAAUUUGGUGUAGAAGCUAAAUAUUUAAGUCUGUUCGACUUUUAAAACUUUACAUGAUCUGAGU
rnacentral:rRNA from 1 species